rnacentral:rRNA from 1 species
AAUAUUGGUCCAUGCUGGCAACUCUGACCCAGCCACGUCGCGUGAAGGAUGACUUCCCUCCGGUUUGUAAACUUCUUUUUUACGGGAAUAAAGUGAGCCACGUGUGGCUUUUUGCAUGUACCUUACGAAUAAGGAUCGGCUAACUCCGUGCCAGCAGCCGCGGUAAUACGGAGGAUCCGAGCGUUAUCCGGAUUUAUUGGGUUUAAAGGGUGCGCAGGCGGAAUAUUAAGUCGGCGGUGAAAGUUUGCAGCUUAACUGUAAAAUUGCAGUUGAUACUGGUAUUCUUGAGUGUAUAUGAAGGAGGCGGAAUUUGUAGUGUAGCGGUGAAAUGCAUAGAUAUUACAAGGAACUCCGAUUGCGAAGGCAGCUUAAUAAAAUACAACUGACGCUUAGGCACGAAGGCGUGGGGAUCAAACA